GGGUUGUGAGGUUAAGCGACUAAGCGUACACGGUGGAUGCCCUGGCAGUCAGAGGCGAUGAAGGACGUGCUAAUCUGCGAUAAGCGUCGGUGAGGUGAUAUGAACCGUUAUAACCGGCGAUUUCCGAAUGGGGAAACCCAGUGUGUUUCGACACACUAUCAUUAACUGAAUCCAUAGGUUAAUGAGGCGAACCGGGGGAACUGAAACAUCUAAGUACCCCGAGGAAAAGAAAUCAACCGAGAUUCCCCCAGUAGCGGCGAGCGAACGGGGAGGAGCCCAGAGCCUGAAUCAGUGUGUGUGUUAGUGGAAGCGUCUGGAAAGGCGUGCGAUACAGGGUGACAGCCCCGUACACAAAAAUGCACAUAUUGUGAGCUCGAUGAGUAGGGCGGGACACGUGGUAUCCUGUCUGAAUAUGGGGGGACCAUCCUCCAAGGCUAAAUACUCCUGACUGACCGAUAGUGAACCAGUACCGUGAGGGAAAGGCGAAAAGAACCCCGGCGAGGGGAGUGAAAAAGAACCUGAAACCGUGUACGUACAAGCAGUGGGAGCCUCUUAAUGGGGUGACUGCGUACCUUUUGUAUAAUGGGUCAGCGACUUAUAUUCUGUAGCAAGGUUAACCGAAUAGGGGAGCCGAAGGGAAACCGAGUCUUAACUGGGCGUUAAGUUGCAGGGUAUAGACCCGAAACCCGGUGAUCUAGCCAUGGGCAGGUUGAAGGUUGGGUAACACUAACUGGAGGACCGAACCGACUAAUGUUGAAAAAUUAGCGGAUGACUUGUGGCUGGGGGUGAAAGGCCAAUCAAACCGGGAGAUAGCUGGUUCUCCCCGAAAGCUAUUUAGGUAGCGCCUCGUGAAUUCAUCUCCGGGGGUAGAGCACUGUUUCGGCAAGGGGGUCAUCCCGACUUACCAACCCGAUGCAAACUGCGAAUACCGGAGAAUGUUAUCACGGGAGACACACGGCGGGUGCUAACGUCCGUCGUGAAGAGGGAAACAACCCAGACCGCCAGCUAAGGUCCCAAAGUCAUGGUUAAGUGGGAAACGAUGUGGGAAGGCCCAGACAGCCAGGAUGUUGGCUUAGAAGCAGCCAUCAUUUAAAGAAAGCGUAAUAGCUCACUGGUCGAGUCGGCCUGCGCGGAAGAUGUAACGGGGCUAAACCAUGCACCGAAGCUGCGGCAGCGACACUAUGUGUUGUUGGGUAGGGGAGCGUUCUGUAAGCCUGUGAAGGUGGCCUGUGAGGGUUGCUGGAGGUAUCAGAAGUGCGAAUGCUGACAUAAGUAACGAUAAAGCGGGUGAAAAGCCCGCUCGCCGGAAGACCAAGGGUUCCUGUCCAACGUUAAUCGGGGCAGGGUGAGUCGACCCCUAAGGCGAGGCCGAAAGGCGUAGUCGAUGGGAAACAGGUUAAUAUUCCUGUACUUGGUGUUACUGCGAAGGGGGGACGGAGAAGGCUAUGUUGGCCGGGCGACGGUUGUCCCGGUUUAAGCGUGUAGGCUGGUUUUCCAGGCAAAUCCGGAAAACCAAGGCUGAGGCGUGAUGACGAGGCACUACGGUGCUGAAGUNNNNNNNNNNNNNNNNNNNNNNNNNNNNNNNNNNNNNNNNNNNNNNNNNNNNNNNNNNNNNNNNNNNNNNNNNNNNNNNNNNNNNNNNNNNNNNNNNNUGACAAAUGCCCUGCUUCCAGGAAAAGCCUCUAAGCAUCAGGUAACAUCAAAUCGUACCCCAAACCGACACAGGUGGUCAGGUAGAGAAUACCAAGGCGCUUGAGAGAACUCGGGUGAAGGAACUAGGCAAAAUGGUGCCGUAACUUCGGGAGAAGGCACGCUGAUAUGUAGGUGAAGCGACUUGCUCGUGGAGCUGAAAUCAGUCGAAGAUACCAGCUGGCUGCAACUGUUUAUUAAAAACACAGCACUGUGCAAACACGAAAGUGGACGUAUACGGUGUGACGCCUGCCCGGUGCCGGAAGGUUAAUUGAUGGGGUUAGCGGUAACGCGAAGCUCUUGAUCGAAGCCCCGGUAAACGGCGGCCGUAACUAUAACGGUCCUAAGGUAGCGAAAUUCCUUGUCGGGUAAGUUCCGACCUGCACGAAUGGCGUAAUGAUGGCCAGGCUGUCUCCACCCGAGACUCAGUGAAAUUGAACUCGCUGUGAAGAUGCAGUGUACCCGCGGCAAGACGGAAAGACCCCGUGAACCUUUACUAUAGCUUGACACUGAACAUUGAGCCUUGAUGUGUAGGAUAGGUGGGAGGCUUUGAAGUGUGGACGCCAGUCUGCAUGGAGCCGACCUUGAAAUACCACCCUUUAAUGUUUGAUGUUCUAACGUUGGCCCGUAAUCCGGGUUGCGGACAGUGUCUGGUGGGUAGUUUGACUGGGGCGGUCUCCUCCUAAAGAGUAACGGAGGAGCACGAAGGUUGGCUAAUCCUGGUCGGACAUCAGGAGGUUAGUGCAAUGGCAUAAGCCAGCUUGACUGCGAGCGUGACGGCGCGAGCAGGUGCGAAAGCAGGUCAUAGUGAUCCGGUGGUUCUGAAUGGAAGGGCCAUCGCUCAACGGAUAAAAGGUACUCCGGGGAUAACAGGCUGAUACCGCCCAAGAGUUCAUAUCGACGGCGGUGUUUGGCACCUCGAUGUCGGCUCAUCACAUCCUGGGGCUGAAGUAGGUCCCAAGGGUAUGGCUGUUCGCCAUUUAAAGUGGUACGCGAGCUGGGUUUAGAACGUCGUGAGACAGUUCGGUCCCUAUCUGCCGUGGGCGCUGGAGAACUGAGGGGGGCUGCUCCUAGUACGAGAGGACCGGAGUGGACGCAUCACUGGUGUUCGGGUUGUCAUGCCAAUGGCACUGCCCGGUAGCUAAAUGCGGAAGAGAUAAGUGCUGAAAGCAUCUAAGCACGAAACUUGCCCCGAGAUGAGUUCUCCCUGACUCCUUGAG
rnacentral:rRNA from 1 species